AUAAUGACCAUGCAUUAUUGCUGGCUACCGUGAAUGAUUGAUGGUAGAUUCUUUUUACGAUUUAGUAAGAGCGUAAAUUUGCCCGAUAUAUAAAACUCUGAAAUUAACUCACCAAUCCGCACGAGAAAUAGGUUGCCUAGCUAGGUAGUUAGAUGGUGUUUUUCACAACUGACACAAAACAAUGGGAGAUGAAAUGAAGAUUCUUGCAGCCAUAAAACCAAACUUUAAUCGACUAUUAAUAUAAGGAGUUUUUUCAUUUUGAACUUAGAAAAAUGAACAGUUGACUUGCGAGGAAUGAUUCUGCGUGGCCAGAUUCCGUUUUACUAAAUAUGGGCCGGAUCAUGCGUGCCGAAUUGAACAACCACUACAAGAAAAGUGAGUAUCAGUGACGAAAAUUAUUAUGACAGAUGUUAGAAAUGUCACAGAAUAGAGGCUAUUCUAUGACGAUUUUAGUAUUUUCAUCACUAAGUUGAGGCUGUCAGUAAUUUGUGACGAACAUGAAUUUUUUGUCAUAAAAGAUUCAACAAUAUGUGAUGAUUUUAUAUAUUUGUCAUGAAACAGCUAAUCAUCUAUGACGAUUAAUUUAUGACCAAUACAUUUUUGUCAAAAAAAAACACAAAACUGGUUUGCUGCAAUAGGCCCAAUAUGGAUUUGGGCUGGCCCAUCACGUUGCCCUAACCUUAUCCUCAGGCAGCACUCACGCAUCAGGGGCACCAGCCACCGGCUGCUCGCCCUAGAGUGGAUCCAGAGGCGGCGGCGUGCUUGGCCAACUGCCGGCGCCGAGCUCGAUGAAAAUUUCAUUGCCGCGACCUUCUCCCUCCAUUUUCCACGAAAAUUUGGUUACCGCACCACUCCAGGCAAAAUAACUAGCACCAGGCGCACCCUUUUCAUUCCAAAACACCACUUCGGCCUUCCCUGUCUCCCACACUCCCUCCCUCCGCCGUCGCCCCCAAUCCCCCUCCCUCCACCGUCACCCCUAAUCCCUCCCUCCACUGUCACCUCAGAUCCAUCCUACCCCGGCCACCUCCAUGGGUUGAUUUGCCCCCAAUCUGUUGCAUCCAUGAGGGUCACACCCACCCAGCCCUCCCUCCCUCUCUGCCUCCGCCGGCCAUGACGGCGCCGCUGCGCCGACCACAACGACACCGCUGCUCAGACCCCCGACGGUCCCGCUGCGCCGACCUCGAGCUCGUGACAACAAGUCAGAGUAGCGCGCAUCACCUACUCAGGAGGAACCAAUUGCAUCAACCCGAGACUUGUCCCGUUGCAUCAACCAUACAAGAGGUUCUUUUUUCCUCCAAAAUUUUCUAUUCUGUUGUCUCUUAAUAUUGAGGAUGCUGAUUGGUUAUUGUGUAGUUAUUGGUUAUAUGAGUUUGACUUAUAAGCAAAAUCACAUUUUUAGCUAUAGGAUUAAUUAGUGCCAAGAACAUAAUUAACUUUAUCUUUACUGGUUCAUGUAAGCAAUGCCAAACAAUGCAUAUGAAGAGGUGAGGGAUAGUAAUAUCAGGAGUAACAUUGCAACAAUGAAAUCUUAUGGCAUACUUGAUACAAAAACCCUUCUCAACUAGUUGUCUACAAGAAAGCAAAAUGGUUACAGAAUAGUUGCAAGGAAGAAAAACAACUGUGAAGAAUCUGCAUCGGACUAUGAACCCUCCGCUGAUGAGAACACUGAUGGAUACAUCCUAGGUCCAAGGCUUCAAAAAGCUCUCCUGGAUCAAGACAGACAAAGGCAUCAAGAAACUCCCAAGGUGCUAGACCAUCAUCUAUGUCGACAAGGUCAAGGUCAGAACCAUCAGCCAAUACACAUGUUCCUCAAGAAAGGAGUCAGGCUAGAGUUGAGGAAGAGCUUAUUCCACCAUCAGCAUUUGAAUCAAGGGGAGUGAACACACCAAUGCUUUUGAGGUCAAAUCGUCCAAUUAGUGAUGCCAAUGAGGGAACUUGUUUUUAUUCCUGAUCUUAAAUCCAGUUUACACUAUUAUCUAACUAGAGCCGUUCUUAAAUCUAAAUCAUUAUUGUGGCAUUUGUUCUUGUGUUUAUUCCUGAUCUUAGUCUACAUGUUGCUCUAGGUUCUAUAAUACUACUUGCUAGCUUCAAAGUUACAAAUCAUUUAUAUCAUUAAUGCAGAGAGACCAAGGUAAUGGGGAAGAAACUGAUUCUAUGGAUCUUUUCAAGGCAAGCCACUUUAGUAAGACAAAGGGUUAUACUGAUGUUGUACAAGAAGUAAUUCAAGAAAUGAUGGAUUUCAAGCAGAAAAUGGAAGAAGCAAAUGAGUCAAAUAAGAGAAAUGAAGAGCAGAUGGCCAUUCUCAAGCAAAAGCAAGAAACUACUGAUUCUCUUCUUUUACGUCUAAUUAGCCAAUCACCAAUCAGUUAAAUUCAGGUUAACCAUCCUUCAUUCUAGUGAUAGUAUAUGGUAGAUGUUCAAAGCCAUGCUAAUGUUUUGUACUUGUGUUGCUGGUGACCACUAGGCCUAGUGUUGCCCUUUGCUUUUGUAACCACUAUAUAGCUACCAUUUGCUUUUGUAACCACUAUAUAGCUACCCUUUGCUUUUGUAACCACUAUAUAGUUGGAUGGUGAACAAUCAUGGAUGAAACAAUGACAUGGUUGUAAUGAAAUCUGUUGGAAAAAUGUCAGUUCAUGUGUCA